rnacentral:rRNA from 1 species
ACACAUGCAAGUCGAGCGGAAACGACAUUAACAAUCCUUCGGGUGCGUUAAUGGGCGUCGAGCGGCGGACGGGUGAGUAAUGCCUAGGAAAUUGCCUUGAUGUGGGGGAUAACCAUUGGAAACGAUGGCUAAUACCGCAUAAUGCCUACGGGCCAAAGAGGGGGAUCUUCGGACCUCUCGCGUCAAGAUAUGCCUAGGUGGGAUUAGCUAGUUGGUGAGGUAAUGGCUCACCAAGGCGACGAUCCCUAGCUGGUCUGAGAGGAUGAUCAGCCACACUGGAACUGAGACACGGUCCAGACUCCUACGGGAGGCAGCAGUGGGGAAUAUUGCACAAUGGGCGGAAGCCUGAUGCAGCCAUGCCGCGUGUAUGAAGAAGGCCUUCAGGUUGUAAAGUACUUUCAGUU